GAUGAACGCUAGCGGCGGGCUUAAUACAUGCAAGUCAAGGGGUAGCAAUACACCGGCGUACGGGUGCGUAACGCGUAUGGAACCUGCCCUUAUCUGGGGGAUAACUCGGGGAAACUCGAGCUAAUACCGCAUAAGAUAGUAGAAUGGCAUCAUUCAGCUAUUAAAGCUUUAUCGGAUAAGGAUGGCCAUGCGUAAGAUUAGAUAGUUGGUGGGGUAACGGCUCACCAAGUCUACGAUCUUUAGGGGCUCUGAGAGGAGAAUCCCCCACACUGGCACUGAGAUACGGGCCAGACUCCUACGGGAGGCAGCAGUAGGGAAUAUUGGGCAAUGGGCGGAAGCCUGACCCAGCCACGCCGCGUGCAGGAAGAAGGCCCUCUGGGUUGUAAACUGCUUUUGAUUGGGAAGAAAGCAUCUCAUGCGUGGGAUUUUGACGGUACCAAUCGAAUAAGCCACGGCUAACUACGUGCCAGCCGCCGCGGUAAUAC
rnacentral:rRNA from 1 species